rnacentral:rRNA from 1 species
GACGAACCGAGCGAACGUUGUUCGGAAUCACUGGGCUUAAAGGGCGCGUAGGCGGGUGCUCAAGUCCGGGGUGAAAUCCCACAGCUCAACUGUGGAAUUGCCUCGGAUACUGGGUGUCUCGAGGGUGGUAGGGGUAUGCGGAACUAUCGGUGGAGCGGUGAAAUGCGUUGAUAUCGAUAGGAACUCCGGUGGCGAAGGCGGCAUACUGGACCACUUCUGACGCUGAGGCGCGAAAGCCAGGGGAGCAAACAGG